rnacentral:lncRNA from 1 species
AUGAAGGGGCUGCCCCGUCGGCCUCUCUUCCUGGCCUCUUGCUUCCUUCUGGGCUGCUUCCUCGGGGUCCCCCGCUGGCAUGUCUCUUGUAAAGAAAGUCCUUCUUCUGUGUCUUUGUUGUCAGCAAAUGAGAACUAUCUCUUGGCAAAUGUGGAUGGGAACAUCCAGGAAAAGGUAACAGGUCUCUUCUGGCUCCUAUGAAUCAUUGUGUCAUUUUCAAGAUGCCUCCCCUGAUUUCUUUAUAUUCUGUUCCAGCAUUUUCCCUCUAGAAGUGUUGCACUGCGGACUUGCUCAUAAGCAAAAUGACUUAGCAGUCGUUUUAGGAGCACAAAUGGCAAUAAUUUCUAACAUUCUGUUUUUGAUGUUUACCUAUAUUUCAUAUGCAUCCAUCAUUUUAAAUUGUGUAACAAUGGCAUGAGAAAAGAAAGCAAGUAUUUUCCUGUAUUGCAAAUCCUCUAUUCCCAAACUCAGCAGUUCUACAUGACUGAGAUUAUAUUUGCUGUUUCUAGUAUUGUACUACCUCACUUUUUCUUCAGGAUGCUUAAUUGUGCAACUAAGAUGCAUCCCGGCUCCUUGUCCAUUUGUCGCAAUUAGCUGUGGCAUGUUAUGGAAAUCUUAUGUGAAUAAUAAUCAAAGUUCAAAUCAAAUUUUCUACAUUUUAGUUUCUCAAACAAUUACAGUGUAUAUGAUGAUGGCAUGUAAAUGUUUCAGAGUAGUAAUAGAAUAUAAGUAGUCUAUAUUCACAUUGUUUGGUUUUGCUUGACCUGUAUACUUUUGCUUAAUGAUUUGUUAAAGGUAACAUCAAUUCUAUAUUGAGGUUUUGGAUUUAAGAUAAGAAACAAAAAAUCUGGACAUUUUUACUCUUACCUUUGUAAGUGAAAACAUAAGUAUCAGUGCCUUAUUAUAAAGAAAAAUCAUGGCCUGCAACAUUUCCAUUAGAUGAGAAUGGAUGGUAUAUCACUUGUCACUUCAUAAUAUAUAAUGGCCAUUUUCCUCUUUCAUAGUUUAUCUAAUUUAGCAGGAAUGAUGGUGCUGGCAAAUUGCUGCGUAUUAAAGAAUUUCUGCUUUGAUUUUGGGUUGUGUGCAACUCUAGCACAAUAAGUGGAUAUCACAUUCAACCUAAAAUCAAAGCAGCAACUCUAUAAUUAGCAGCAAAUUGUUGCUGGACAUCAGUCCUGCUAUAAUUGUAGAUCUUUGCAAGAGGAUUUUGACCAGUCUAAUUAAUACAAAUUAUAUACCUAACUGUAGUGAAAUCCUGUGGGAAAAAUACUUAGAGAAAAAAAGAAGAAGGCAAGGGGGGUGUUCCUUAUUCUGGGGGCCCUGAAAAGAAGAAAAGUGAUAAAUUCUUCCAAUAAAUAACAUUUUAAAAUGGAAUAUUUAGAAGGA